ensembl:snRNA U2 U2 spliceosomal RNA
UUUGCUUCUCGGCCUUUUGGCUAAGAUCAAGUGUAAAAUGUGGGUAACUACUAACGCUAGAUGAUGGGUAUAUGGGUUCAUUAUUCUCUCUACUUUUAUAUACAUAUUUGAAAAUUCCCAUGUUAAAAGAUUACAAAAUGAAUUGAAUGAAUUUCUAUCCAUCAUUCAGUACAAUGCUGCCUUC